UACGUAGGGGGCAAGCGUUGUCCGGAUUUAUUGGGCGUAAAGAGCGUGUAGGCGGUUUGGUAGGUCCGCUGUGAAAACUCGAGCUCAACCUCGAGACGCCGGUGGAAACCAUCAGACUAGAGUCCGGAAGAGAAGAGUGGAAUUCCUGGUGUAGCGGUGAAAUGCGCAGAUAUCAGGAAGAACACCCGUGGCUAAGGCGGCUCUCUAGUACGGUACUGACGCUGAGACGCGAAAGCGUGGGGAGCGAACAGG
rnacentral:rRNA from 1 species